ACCUCUCACUUCUGCCCAAUUCAAGUUUCUAUCUGCACGUGUGCACACAUAUCAUCUGAAGGCAAACGGAAAGGCUGGGUUCUGUCAGACCCCAGUACAGAGCAACUCUUCAUUUCCUAGACUGGCAGUGGCAACCGAGUGCAGUUUUCCAUAUGUACCUAAGCACUGUUCCCCGUAAAUUCAUCGGGUGAAUCCUCCCCCGACACCCC
rnacentral:lncRNA from 1 species